rnacentral:rRNA from 1 species
GUAGGUCACAAGCGUUGUCCGGAAUNACUGGGUGUAAAGGGAGCGCAGGCGGGAAGACAAGUUGGAAGUGAAAUCUAUGGGCUCAACCCAUAAACUGCUNUCAAAACUGUUUUUCUUGAGUAGUGCAGAGGUAGGCGGAAUUCCCGGUGUAGCGGUGGAAUGCGUAGAUAUCGGGAGGAACACCAGUGGCGAAGGCGGCCUACUGGGCACCAACUGACGCUGAGGCUCGAAAGUGUGGGUAGCAAACAGGAUUAGAUACCCUGGUAGUCCACACCGUAAACGAUGACUACUAGGUGUCGGGUAGCAAAGCUGUUCGGUGCCGCAGCAAACGCAAUAAGUAGUCCACCUGGGGAGUACGUUCGCAAGAAUGAAACUCAA